rnacentral:lncRNA from 1 species
AUUACUUCUGUUUCCUGGAUGCCUCUUUCUCUCCUGAAAGAUGAACUAUUCUGCUGGCCUUCCUCAAUUCCCCAGAUUUUAAAAACUGUUGAAGUUCCCACUAGUGUUCCUUGUCAUCUGUAUUUUGCACUGUGCAAUCCAGAAACCACAGUGACACGUCUGCUGGACUCUGUACGUCAGAGGGAGAGCAGUGUUUGAGGCUGAGUCCCUCAGCAGCGUGUCGGCAAGAAGCUUCCAUAUGGAAGAACCUCUGCCAGCAUCCUUCCCACCUCAUGAUGAACCCCUGGGACUGAGAGCGCAAGCUUCAUCUUAACGUUGUUCCAGGCCAAGUCCAUAACUUCCUCAAGAGGACUCUUUUGCCUACCCACAGAACUGGAUUCUCUGUAAGAUGAGCAAAGUGAAGGCUCUGUGCUUGACCACAGUGAUGGCUGUUCAAACCAAACUAAGGCUCUGGACUAAAGGUGAGAGUGCCGGAGAAGCCAGGCUGAACAUGUGACAUUCCUGGUUUGAUGUGACUGGCAACACGGACCAUAUCACCCAGUCCAUCUCCUUUCAUGACUUUUCUUGGCUACGUCUCCACAGACAGCCUAGAAACAGAGAGGAAGGCAAGGAAACGGCAUCGUCAGAAUGACCUGGGAGGGAUUAGGAGGCGAUUAUUGAUGAAGGCAUCCACGACACCAGGACAGGUCUGUGGAGAAUUUCCCAAGGUGCUCCAAGGCUACCUUCUCUGUCCGAAGAAGUGGAUGCAGCUGAACAACUGCUCCUCUACUUCUGCUGCCUCAGUUUUUCAGACACCCAACUGA